rnacentral:rRNA from 1 species
CACGUAGGGGGCGAGCGGUGUCCGGAUUUAUUGGGCGUAAAGAGCUCGUAGGCGGCUCGGUAAGUCGGGUGUGAAAUUUCAGGGCUCAACCCUGAAAAGCCACCUGAUACUGCCGUGGCUAGAGUCCGGUAGGGGAGUGGGGAAUUCCUGGUGUAGCGGUGAAAUGCGCAGAUAUCAGGAGGAACACCAGCGGCGAAGGCGCCACUCUGGGCCGGUACUGACGCUGAGGAGCGAAAGCGUGUGGAGCAAACAGG